UACGUAGGGUGCGAGCGUUGUCCGGAAUUAUUGGGCGUAAAGGGCUCGUAGGCGGUUUGUCGCGUCGGGAGUGAAAUCCACUGGCUUAACUGGUGGCUUGCUUUCGAUACGGGCAGACUGGGGGUAUGCAGGGGAGAACGGAAUUCCUGGUGUAGCGGUGAAAUGCGCAGAUAUCAGGAGGAACACCGGUGGCGAAGGCGGUUCUCUGGGCAUGUCCUGACGCUGAGGAGCGAAAGUGUGGGGAGCGAACAGG
rnacentral:rRNA from 1 species